UACAGAGGGUGCGAGCGUUGUCCGGAAUCACUGGGCGUAAAGGGCGCGUAGGUGGUGGCUUAAGCGUGCGGUGAAAGCUCGGGGCUCAACUCCGAGUCGGCCGUGCGAACUGGGCUCACUGGAGCAUAGUAGAGGCAGGUGGAAUUCCGGGUGUAGCGGUGGAAUGCGUAGAGAUCCGGAAGAACACCGGUGGCGAAGGCGGCCUGCUGGGCUAUAGCUGACACUGAGGCGCGACAGCGUGGGGAGCAAACAGG
rnacentral:rRNA from 1 species